rnacentral:rRNA from 1 species
GAUGAACGCUGGCGGCGUGCUUAACACAUGCAAGUCGAACGGGAAACCUUUUAUUGAAGCUUCGGCAGAUUUAGCUGGUUUCUAGAGGCGGACGGGAAAGUAACGCGUGGGUAACCUGCCUUAUACAGGGGGAUAACAAACAGAAAUGGUUGCUAAUACCGCAUAAGCGCACAGGACCGCAUGGUCCGGUGUGAAAAACUCCGGUGGUAUAAGAUGGACCCGCGUUGGAUUAGCUGGUUGGCAGGGUAACGGCCUACCAAGGCGACGAUCCAUAGCCGGCCUGAGGACGUGAACGGCCACAUUUGGACUGAGACACGGCCCAGACUCCGACGGGAGGCAGCAGUGGGGAAUAUUGCACAAUGGGGGAAACCCUGAUGCAGCGGCGUCGCGUGAAGGAAGAAGUAUCUCGGUAUGUAAACUUCUAUCAGCAGGGAAGAUAGUGACGGUACCUGACGAAGAAGCCCCGGCUAACUACGUG